rnacentral:misc_RNA from 1 species
AGCUGGAUCAUUUCGAGAGUUACCUUGACUCACCGUUGAGAAAAUGUAAUACUCCUUCGAUGCGCGUCGCAGCAUCGCAGGUUAGACAACUCAUGGCGGUGGAUGUCUCGGCUUUCCAUUCGAUGAAGGACGCGGCAACAUGCGAUAACUCGUAUGAAUUGCAGAAUUAUGCAUUACUAAUCCUUCGAAUGCACAUUGCGUGCCGGCCCCAAGUCCGGGCACGUCCACGAUUCAGUGCUCAUAACCAACUGGGGACAAAUUAGGCCCACAAAAAGUAUGGUUUAUUACCAAAUCAGGCUUCUCGGCCUGAGUUGUGUUCGACCACCCGCUGAACUUAAGCAUAUCAUUAAGCGGAGGAAAAGAAAACAACUGUGAUUCCCGUAGUAGCGGCGAGCGAAAUGGGAAAAGUCCAAUCCGAAUCCUGCAAGGGAAUUGUGGUGUAAGUGUGGGCUUGUAUCUUGCGGACUCGGAAAAGUUUUCCUGGAAAGGAGUGCCAAAGAGGGUGAUAGCCCCGUUAUCCGAGAACCCGCAAGACAAACCUUGCCCAUGCCCGAGUAGUACUGCUUGGGAAUGCAGUGCGAACGGCAGGUAUACCUCUGUUAAGGCUAAAUAUCAUGGGAAGACCGAUAGCGCACAAGUAGCGUGAGCGAAAGAUGAAAAGCACUUUGGAGAGAGAGUGAAAUAGUACCUGAAGCCGUCAUGAGGUAAGGGAUGGACCACUAUCCAAGACACUUUGAAGAAAGGCUCUUUAGAGCAAACCUCUCAGGGUGUCACGUCAGCCGUUGUCUUGAAGUCUAGCUUCCUUUGGCUUAGCCUUUCGGGGUGGCCCGAGGUCGAACUUGAACUGAUGGACAAUUUUCCUUGUGCCGGAGAAAACUGGUGUAAGCACAGUCGUACGGGCCCAACAGGCUAGCAGCUUGCUGCGAUGCCUUCGGGUUUGGAAAGCUGUUCUGCUCCACUCUUUCCCGUCAUAGGUUGACUUCGAGAUGGCCUUCGGGCCACGAUGGGGUUCAUCCGCCCGUCUUGAAACACGGACCAAGGAGUCUAACAAGUGUGCGAGUGUUAUGUUGAAUGAAAACAUGACGCGGACUGAAAGGGAAGUGUCCUUCUGGACAUAUGGUGCCAAGGUUUGUCCCAUGGGACUUAUCUGCAGCGCCCGCCGGACUUUGGGAAUCGCCCGGAGUUCUGAGCGUUAGCACACAUGUUGGGACCCGAAAGGUGGUGACCUAUGCCUGAACAGGACGAAGCCGAGGGAAACCUGGGUGGAGGUCCGUAGCGAUGUUGACGUGCAAAUCACUCGCCAGAUUUGGGUAUAGGGGCGAAAGACUCAUCGAACCACCUAGUAGCUGGUUCACCC